GUGGGGAAUAUUGCACAAUGGGCGCAAGCCUGAUGCAGCAACGCCGCGUGAGGGAUGACGGCCUUCGGGUUGUAAACCUCUUUUAGUAGGGAAGAAGCGAAAGUGACGGUACCUGCAGAAAAAGCACCGGCUAACUACGUGCCAGCAGCCGCGGUAAUACGUAGGGUGCAAGCGUUGUCCGGAAUUAUUGGGCGUAAAGAGCUCGUAGGCGGCUUGUCGCGUCUGCUGUGAAAUCCCGGGGCUCAACCCCGGGCCUGCAGUGGGUACGGGCAGGCUAGAGUGCGGUAGGGGAGAUUGGAAUUCCUGGUGUAGCGGUGGAAUGCGCAGAUAUCAGGAGGAACACCGAUGGCGAAGGCAGAUCUCUGGGCCGCUACUGACGCUGAGGAGCGAAAGCAUGGGGAGCGAACAGGAUUAGAAACCCUGGUAGUCC
rnacentral:rRNA from 1 species